rnacentral:tRNA from 1 species
GCCUGGGUGGCUCGGCUGGUUGAGCGUCUGACUGGGGCUCAGGUCAUGAUCUCGUGUUUGUGGGUUCGAGUCCCGCGUCGGGCU